ACCCAGACUCCUACGGGAGGCAGCAGUGAGGAAUAUUGGUCAAUGGUCGGGAGACUGAACCAGCCAAGCCGCGUGAGGGAGGAAGGUACAGAGUAUCGUAAACCUCUUUUGUCAGGGGACAAAGACUGGGACGCGUCCCCGGAUGAGUGUACCUGAAGAAAAAGCAUCGGCUAACUCCGUGCCAGCAGCCGCGGUAAUACGGAGGGUGCGGGCGUUAAUCGGAAUUACUGGGCGUAAAGCGCUCGUAGGCGGUAUGUCAAGUCAAGGGUGAAAUCCCCGCGCUCAACGUGGGAACUGCCUUUGAAACUGGCAAACUGGAGUGUGUGAGAGGAUAGUGGAAUUCCAGGUGUAGGAGUGAAAUCCGUAGAUAUCUGGGGGAACAUCAGUGGCGAAGGCGACUAUCUGGCACAUAACUGACGCUGAGGAGCGAAAGCGUGGGUAGCAAACAGGAUUAGAUACCCGAGUAA
rnacentral:rRNA from 1 species